CUCGCUGCUUUCAACCUUGAAACCCCCAAGCUUCUCAAUAAAGCUUUGGCGUUCCUUCUGAUUAUUUCCAGUCUUGGCUGCUGUGACUGUUUUUGGUGUU